GGGACAACCCUCAGGGAGGGACAAAUAUUCACCAUAUACUGUAAAACUUUAACACACACCCACAAUUCCCUCCCCUAGCCGUGGAGAUAAUUAAGUCUGAUAAAAGAAUAAAUUAUCUCCGGGCUGAAAAAUCACUUUUUUCCCCAAUAACUGGAUCACCCCUUUAUACUUGGGGUAUCCCCACAAAUAACAUGUCCCCUGAUAGCCCUGAUCUGGGUGACCAACAUAUCCGAAUUUCACCCAGAUCCGUUCAGGGGUUCGCAAAAACUAUGGAUGUCUUCUGUGACCGGCUCACCCUGGGCUGUAUGCCCAAAACAGUCCCAUGAGUUUGGUGGGUUUUGCCGGUCACUUUAGAAAUAGGAAAAAAGCAAACAAAGUACCGAAUGGAUCCCUCUGGCUACUAGCAGCAUUCGUGCCCCUCUGUUGAAUGUACCAAAGUACCAAAUAGCGCUCUUCUAGCUAUUCGGUAACCCCUGACGAAGGUGCAUUCUCUAAGCACCGAAACACGCGUUGGGCGUUUGCCAAUAUUUACACUAGGCACUGAAUGGCACCCUAGCACUAUGAAUUGUACUUACCACAUUUUUCUUUGUUUUCUUUUCUUUGUAUUCCUAUGCCUGUCUAGUUAGUUUACCAGGGAGAGAGGCUUUAUAAUUUUAAAUUAAAUUUCUCCUACUCGUUUGUCUUUACCCUGGUAUUUUCUAGCCAGUAUCUCUCCACGCUACAUUGCUAUAUAUUAUUUCCAGGUAAUGCAGACAGACUGGGGUUUGUUGGAUAUCCUAAGUCUGCCUGCGUUUCUUCUCUUUUUUCUGUGGCAUUUUCUAUUUGGGGUUAAGCCCCGUUGAGACCCCUGGAGUCUCUCUGCGGUACUUAAGACUCUACUGUAUAGGUGUGCCCUCCCUGUCUUUUAGGGAGUUGGUACACACAGAUACAUGCACCGUCUUAAUUGUCCUUUGUGUUUUUUAGCUAUUCGGUAAGUAGAGUUCCAACGUUUGUCUGUUUGAGACCGGUGUUCAGGAAGUCGAGUGUCCAUUUUCAGUUCCAUACACUCGACGACCACGUCCCGCUGCCUUUGUUCGCAUGAACAAAGAUGGCAGCGGUUUUCUCUGCCACGUGGCGUUCGGCUGUACAAACGCUGGCCGCACAGACAGAGGUGGCAAUUGAAUCGGUCAUUGAUGUUUAACGAGCCAGAGGGGUGGUCUUUGUUCGGUAGUUACAUCUACCGAAUGCAAUGGGCAGAAAUAGUGUAAGAAAAGGGGUAUUUCUUCACACCCACCACUGUCAGCAGUAUAUGGUAUAGAUAAAGGGCACAGAUUACAUUAGUCAG